rnacentral:lncRNA from 1 species
CAGUGUUAGUUAUAGUAUGCAUGAGGAACUCAGAAUCCCAGAACACACUGCACCUUCCUUGUUAGACUGAAUGUUCUGGACAGCUCUCUUGUCCUCAUCACCAUCUACCCCUCUACAAUGGUGACAGUGUUUCCUACUUUAAUAUGUAGCAGAAGGUGUAGUGUGUAGUGUGUAUCAGAAGGUGUAGUGUGUAUCAGAAGGUGUAGUGUGUAUCAGAAGGUGUAGUGUGUAUCAGAAGGUGUAGUGUGUAGUGUGUAUCAGAUGGUGUAGUGUGUAUCAGAUGGUGUAGUGUGUAUCAGAAGGUGUAGUGUGUAUCAGAAGGUGUAGUGUGUAUCAGAAGGUGUAGUGUGUAGUGUGUAUCAGAAGGUGUAGUGUGUAUCAGAAGGUGUAGUGUGUAUCAGAUGGUUUAGUGUGUAUCAGAAGGUGUAGUGUGUAUCAGAUGGUGUAGUGUGUAUCAGAAGGUGUAGUGUGUAUCAGAUGGUGUAGUGUGUAUCAGAAGGUGUAGUGUGUAUCAGAAGGUGUAGUGUGUAUCAGAUGGUUUAGUGUGUAUCAGAAGGUGUAGUGUGUAUCAGAUGGUGUAGUGUGUAGUGUGUAUCAGCUGGUGUAGUGUGUAUCAGAAGGUGUAGUGUGUAUCAGAUGGUUUAGUGUGUAUCAGAAGGUGUAGUGUGUAUAGGAAGGUGUAGUGUAUAUCAGAUGGUUUAGUGUGUAGUGUGUAUCAGAAGGUGUAGUGUGUAUCAGAAGGUGUAGUGUGUAUCAGAAGGUGUAGUGUGUAUCAGAAGGUGUAGUGUGUAGUGUGUAUCAGAAGGUGUAGUGUGUAUCAGAAGGUGUAGUGUGUAUCAGAAGGUGUAGUGUGUAUCAGAUGGUGUAGUGUGUAGUGUGUAUCAGAAGGUGUAGUGUGUAUCAGAAGGUGUAGUGUGUAUCAGAAGGUGUAGUGUGUAUCAGAAGGUGUAGUGUGUAUCAGAAGGUGUAGUGUGUAGUGUGUAUCAGAAGGUGUAGUGUGUAUCAGAAGGUGUAGUGUGUAUCAGUUUUUGUAGUGUGUAUCAGAUGGUGUAGUGUGUAUCAGAAGGUGUAGUGUGUAUCAGAUGGUGUAGUGUGUAUCAGAUGGUGUAGUGUGUAUCAGAAGGUGUAGUGUGUAUCAGAAGGUGUAGUGUGUAUCAGGAGGUGUAGUGUGUAUCAGAAGGUGUAGUGUGUAGUGUGUAUCAGAAGGUGUAGUGUGUAUCAGAAGGUGUAGUGUGUAUCAGAAGGUGUAGUGUGUAUCAGAAGGUGUAGUGUGUAUCAGAAGGUGUAGUGUGUAUCAGAUGGUGUAGUGUGUAUCAGAAGGUGUAGUGUGUAUCAGAAGGUGUAGUGUGUAGUGUGUAUCAGAAGGUGUAGUGUGUAUCAGAAGGUGUAGUGUGUAUCAGAAGGUGUAGUGUGUAUCAGAAGGUGUAGUGUGUAUCAGAAGGUGUAGUGUGUAGUGUGUAUCAGAUGGUGUAGUGUGUAUCAGAUGGUGUAGUGUGUAUCAGUAGGUGUAGUGUGUACCAGAAGGUGUAGUGUGUAUCAGAAGGUGUAGUGUGUAUCAGAAGGUGUAGUGUGUAGUGUGUAUCAGAAGGUGUAGUGUGUAUCAGAAGGUGUAGUGUGU